UAAACUAUUGAUGGACCUAUAUUAUAGAACUACAUGUGUUUUGGGUUACCCUGCAUUGCUAUUUCAUAUGAAGCAUGGCUUGUAGAUGACAAUGGGGAAAUUACUAAAGAAGCUAGAUGUAGAAUCUGUGCAAGUCUCCAUUAAUGGUCACUUGAAAGUUUUAAUAGAAUCUUCAAUAAACUUUAUUAUGGAGCUUGAUACAGUGUUAGUGAUAUACUGUGGCUGACACAGAUGUCUUCUGAUUCCAUAUUCCAUUUCUACUUUUGUGUACUUUCUGACCUUCUAUUGUGCUGUCAGGGAAAUGGGAAUGUUUGCUUACUGAAUGUAUCAAUUUGAAAUGAGCUUUCACCUCUGUAUUUUGGGAAAAUCUCAACAAACUAGGCUGUUCCAAAACUACUCUUCACCUAAAAUUUUAUAAAUUCAGAUCAAUACUUCAACCUAGAAGAUGUGGCUAACAAAUAUCGAAAGUCCUAUUACAAUCUACGCUGAAUAUAAUCGCUUCAGUAUACCCUGCAUAAUUAUCCAGUAGCUAAGGCAAUGGACGUUAUAGUUGGAUACAUCAACUUCACACACACACACACACACACACACACACACACACACACACACAUCAACCUUAGUCAUUUCCAAAAAUUAAGUACUAACAGAUGCCUGACCCAAGAAAAAUAUUUCUUCAGUGAGAAAGGCAAUGUUAACAUUAUAUCUAAAGGGCAUCAUAUAAAGCUAUGAAAGUAAUAAGAGGGAAGAUGAAGUAUGCUCAUUAGUUACAGAUUUUAUGUCCCAGAAAGGAGUACAGCAAUGGGAGAAGAAAGGAGAUCCUUUCAAUCAGGAUUGUCUACCACUUACCUUAAACUAGAUGCUGGGUACUAACAAGCACAUCUCAGAACAGACAGUAAGCUCUUUCAUUUCCAGAACCUCCCUGAAGAAACAGACCAGACUACUGUUCUCCAUUUCUUAGGGGGUUUGAAGAAACUCAAAGACUCACUGUGUCUUUGAGGGCAGUCAAUGGACAGCUACUCCUCUGUAUAUCCGUGAAAAGCUCCCUAGCAGUGAAUCCCUCCUUUCUAUAUACCAGAAUAUUCAAGCCUAGUCAGCUAUCUUCCUAUAUAUAAGAAGUAUGAUUUUUCAAGGUCUCACACAAACAUGAUCUCCUGAAGCACCCAAGGAGGCCUUCCCCGACAUGAAAUAAAGCAACUAUACGGUGUGGCUGCCAACAAUGGAUUCCAGGACAGCCCAUGCAGAUGUCACGAUAGAAUGUCUAUCGUGGGAUAGAUAGGAUUUCGCCCUCAAAAGGGCUUUCUAGCUUCGUUUUCAUUGUAGUUUCUUAAGGCCAGUGACAGAAGGAAAGCAAGCAGCUCCCCAGGUGAACAGACUAAACACAAACAAAAGACUAUGACUCUGAGAUCAAAAUGGGGUCCCUAACCAGAGGACGACUUCCUUAGGUGGACGUUUGGCUUUCUGGGGAAAUCUCAUUUGUUUCAAGCCAGAAAGUGAGAAAAAGCAGAAAGAGAAGCGGCUGGAAGACUCGCGAGUCUAGAAUAAAAAGCUCAAGCUAUUCCAUCUUCAGGGCAGAAGACCAAAAGGCGAUUCCCACCCUGAGCCCAAAGGAGACCAGGGUCGUUGAGACUGGGGAGCCCUGGACCGAGCGCACAGCGCGACCGAGAGCAGCGCGCACUCCCCCGCCCCGCUCCCUCCACAUCCCGCCGGGACCCGGGACUUUCCCGACGGGGCGGCGGGGCGAGCCCGGGCAAGGCGCUUACCCACUUCCAGACGGCUAGGACAGCUCCUCGCUACCCGCCGCGCUGCCGCAGCUUCUUCACUCUAGCUCUGCUCCGCCUGACCUCCCCUCACCGCACGCCCCUCCCUCAGGCUGCCAAGCACUGCACCCAGAGUCCCGGGCCGAACCCGUAUUUAAAAGCUUCUGCCCGAGAAGGCGGAGGCUUCAUUCCCCCGCAGUCAGGCCCUCCCGGACUCUGCACUCCACCGCAUCCCUGCUCCUCCUCCCGCCACACUAGGCCCCGGGGCCCGCCCCUAUUUCCUGCGGGCCCCAGGGGCGGGGAGACGGGGAGGGGCUAGUCAUUGCUAGGAGGGGAGGCUCCGCCCCCAGCCGAACCUGGGCGAAUCCGCUCGGGCCAGCUCAGCUGUCCCGCCCCUACCGCGAGCGGCACUGGGCGGAGCUGCGUGCGCGUCAAGGCCGCUGAGGCCCGUGGGCUGCGGCUCCAGGUACCGCCACGCCGGGCGCUAGUAUGCCAGGCCCCCUUCGCUUUCUGUGUCCUCGUCCCCGCUGACGGCCGGCGCUGAGGUGGCGCCGCGUGGGCGCCACGUCGGACAUAAUCUAGGGUUGCGGGGGUACUGAACCAGCCGGCUGCGGCGCGGGGGGACCGGAAGGUCCCGGCCCCUUUCCGGUCUCAGCAGCAGCCCGAACGGGUGGCCUAGUGUUUCGGCCCCCGAGAUUUUGCGGUCCCACUGAGCCGGGGCUUUACUCCCCUCCCACGUACUCCGGGCCAGAGGCCCAAGGUUUAGUCAGAUCUCUUGGGCUAGGAUGCUGAGUCCUGUCAUGACUGGACCAGUUAGUGCCUCCGCCUGAUCCCUGGGAGGAAAAGCAUAACACCCACGCCCUACCAGCCAUAUUUUACAGAGAUACUCCUGCCAAAUUCGGGAUUUGGGAUGUCUGUGCAUGAUACGUAGCAGAUAAUUUGCAACAUGCAAGUUCCGUGCUAUCAGGAAGACUAAAAUUAAUGUAUGGAGACUUCCCGUUUUUAAUGAGGUUAGUUCUGUUCUCUUUCUCCCUUACAGAACCAUCUUAAACCUCAAAUCUAAGAAGAAAAGAAGUCAUGACUUUUCUUGUGUGUUCCUCGCAUAAUUUUUGUACUCGAAGUCAAAGACGAUUAUUAAAUACAGCGUCAUAAGGAAUGUGUUUACACGUUUAUAAAGGCACAUUAAAAUACCUGAUAGGGGCGCCUGGGUGGCGCAGUCGGUUAAGCGUCCGACUUCAGCCAGGUCACCAUCUCGCGGUCCGUGAGUUCGAGCCCCGCGUCAGGCUCUGGGCUGAUGGCUCAGAGCCUGGAGCCUGUUUCCGAUUCUGUGUCUCCCUCUCUCUCUGCCCCUCCCCCGUUCAUGCUCUGUCUCUCUCUGUCUCAAAAAUAAAUAAAUAAACGUUGAAAAAAAAAAUUAAAAAAAAAAUACCUGAUAGAUGAUGAAGGGUUUUUGUAAGUUUUUUAAAAGUUUUAUUCCUUUUUUUUUUUUUUAUGUUUAUUUAUUUUUGAGAGAGAGAGAAACAGAGUGUGAGCGGGGGGAGGGGCUGAGAGAGAGGGAGACACAGAAUCCAAGCAGGUUCCAGGCUCUGAGCUGUCAGCACAGAGCUCCAUGCUGGGCUCAGACUCCUGAACCCAGAGAUCAUGACCUCAGCUGAAGUCCCACAGUUAACUGACUGAGCCACCCAGGUGCCCCUUUUAAGUUUUAUUUCUAAUCUCCAUACUCAACAUGGCACUCCAACUCCUGACAGGACAGCAAGAGUCACAUGCUCCUCCAACUGAGCCAGCUAGGAACCCUGGGAUGAUGGUUUUCUUGACAGGAUCAUGACAAUCUUAAGCAAGCUUAUGAAGGGGCUGAGUCUAGGUGGCUCAGUCGGUUAAGUAUCCGACUUCAUCUCACGGAUCGUGGGUUGAGCCCCAGGUUGGGCUCUGUAUUGACAACUCAGAGCCUGAAGCCUGCUUCAGAUUCUGUGUCUCCCUCUCUCUCUGCCUCUGCCCUGCUUGCACUAUCUCUCUGUCUCUCAAAAAUGAAUAAAUGUUAGGGGCGCCUGGGUGGCUCAGUGGGUUGAGUGUCCGACCUCGGCUCAGGUCAUGACCUUGCAGUUUGUAUGUUCCAGCCCUGCAUUAGGCUCUGUGCUGACAGCCCAGAGCUUGGGGCCUGCUUCCAUUCUGGGUCUCCCUCUCUCUCUGCCCCUCCCCCGUUUGUGCUCUGUCUCUGCCUCUCAAAAAUAAAGACACAUAAUAAAAAAAAUCAGCGUUAAAAAAUUGAAAAAAAAAAAAAGAAAGCUCAUGGAUACUGCUUAAACAGUUUGCUAUAGAUUGUAGAAAGUAUGAUAAGAUAUGUAGGUGUUGUAUAUUCUAUGCAAUAUUCUAUAUUGUAUGGAUUCGUUUAUCCAACAAAUAUCUAGUGCCUAUUGUGUGUUAGACAUUAUCCUGGAGACCAAAGAUGCAAAAUGGAUUAAGACCCAAUUCCUUUUUCCAAAGCUCACAGGCUAGUAGAAGAGAUAAGUGACUAAGUAAUUGCAAUAUAUGUGACAAAUACUGUACUAUAAUAGAGUUGAACUUGGCAUAUAAAUAGAUUUAAAUUUCCUUUUAGAGGGGCAUCUGGGUGGCUCAGUCAGUAUCUGACUUGAUUUCUGCUCAGGUCAUGACCUCAACAGUUGAUGAAAUCCAGCCCACCUAGGGCUCUGAGCUGAGUGUAGACCCUGCUUGGGAUUCUCUCUCUCCCUCUCUGCCCCUCCCCCACUUGCAUGCUCCUUCUCUCUCUCUCUCUCUCUCUCUCUCUCAAAAUAAAUAAAUAUUUAAAAAAUAAAUAAAAAUAAAGUUCCCACUGCAGUUAGUUUUGUGAUAAAAACUACUUUUAUAUUAUUUCUUCCCUUUGUUUUGAAUUAAUCAUUUUUCUACCUAGUAUUCACUUUACAUUCUUUGUUAGUAUUUUGAUAAUAAUCAUAAUCUUUGAAACAGUACAAUCUCAGAAAUUAAAUCAGAAUAUCAAUACUAGCUGGGGCGGCCUGGGUGGCUCAGUCAGCUAAACAUCCAACUUCAGCUCAGGUCAUGAUCUCACAGUUCGUGAGUUCCAACCCCAUGUCAGGAUCAGUGCUGACAAUUCACAGCCUGGAGCCUGCUUUGGAUUCUGUGUUUCCCUCUCUGUGCCCCUCCCCAACUCGUGCUCUCUCUCUCUCUCUCUCAAAAAUAAAUAAGCAUUUUUUUUAAUUAAAAAAAAAAAAAAGAUUUAGAAAUAGCAUGUCCAGGGUAGUAGCCAUGGACAUUCAGAGAAAUAAAGAUACUCAAGAGAUGAUCAGGGAAUAAAAGCAACAAGACUUUGGUAAUAUUCUCCACCCCACCCCCCUCCCCCACACCAAAAGUGACACUAUCCUGGUGUCUGACAAUAUAUUUUAGUUCUGCCUUACACAGAUACAUUUAAGGGAAUCAAUUUCCAGCUCUUCAGCUUCCACAGGUACCCUUUCCCAAAAUGAAUAUGCCUAAGAAUAAUAGUCCAUUUUACAAAAGAAAGGCUUACCUUUUACCCAAGUGAAGCCUUGUUAGGAUCCGUUACCCUGGGGUGAAAUUCUCCUGAGUGCCAAAGGAAUAAACUGGAUUCUUGUUUUGGGGCAGCCCCCUAGAGUGAUUAAUCAAGACACCUCAAAUCUGUCUUUCUUCAUUUUAUACUUAUUUUUGCUGAGGCUGAAGUCCAGUUAGAAACAGGACAUGUUGGCCUAUGUUAGGGUAUUCUGAAUUCCAAACAGAAGAUACCAUAAAAUUAGUGACCUUGAUUCUUUUGAAAGCAACUUGACUAUUUUGCAGGACUACUAAAAUUAAAAAAAAAAUUUUUUUAACGUUUAUUUAUUAUUGAGAGACAGACAGACACAGAGCAUGAGCAGGGGAGGGGCCGAGACAUAGACACAGAAUCUGAAGCAGACUCCAGGCUCUGAGCUGUCAACACAGAGCCUGACGUGGGGCUCGAACUCAAAAACCACAAGAUCAUGACCUGAGCCAAAGUCAGACGCUUAACCAACUGAGCCACCCAGGCACCCCAGGACUACUAAAAUUUUUAAGAGGUAUUGAAUAAAAUAGAAAUGGAGAAACUUUACAGUAUUUAUUCAGUUAAAUAAAUAUUUAUUUAACUUAGUUAUAUCAAAUCUUUUUUUUAAUCUAAUUUUUAAAAAAAUUUACAUCCAGGGGCGCCUGGGUGGCUCAGUCGGUUAAGCGUCCGACUUCGGCUCAGAUCACAAUCUCACAGUUCGUGAGUUCGAGCCCUGCGUCAGGCUCUGUGCUGACAGCUCAGAGCCUGGAGCCUGCUUCACACUCUGUGUCUGCCUCUCUCUCUGCCCCUUCCCUGCUCAUGCUGUGUCUCUCUCUGUCUCAAAAAAUAAAAUAAACAUUUAAAAAAAUAAAAAAAUAAAAAAUUUAUUUCCAAAUUACUUAGCAUAUAGUGCAACAAUGAUUUCAGGAGUAGAUUCCUUAGUGCCCCUUACCCAUUUGGCCCAUCCCCCCUCCCCCACCCCCUCCAGUAACCCUCUGUUUGUUCUCCAUAUUUAUGAGUCUCUUCUGUUUUGUCUCCCUCCCUGUUUUUAUAUUAUUUUUGUUUCCCUUCCCUUAUGUUCAUCUGUUUUGUCUCUUAAAGUCCUCAUAUGAGUGAAGUCAUAUGAUUUUUGUCUUUCUCUAAUUUCACUUAGCAUAAUUCCCUCUAGUUCCAUCCACAUAGUUGUAAAUGGCAAGAUUUCAUUCUUUUUGAUUGCCGAGUAAUACUCCAUUGUAUAUAUGUAUACCACAUGUUCUUUAUCCAUUCAUCCAUUGAUGGACAUUUGGGCUCUUUCCAUACUUUGGCUAUUGUUGGUAGUGCUGCUAUAAACAUGGGGGUGCAUGUGUCCUUUCAAAACAGCACACUUGUAUCCCUUGGAUAAAUACCUAGUAGUGCAAUUGCUGGGUCGUCGGGUAGUUCUGUUUUUAGUUGUUGUUUUUUUUUUUUUGUUUUUUUUUUUGAGGAACCUCCAUACUGUUUUCCAGAGUGGCUGCACCAGCUUGCAUUCCCAUAGUUAUAUCAAAUCUUAAGAUAGUUUUCCACUUAUAGUCUUCAUUUUGUAUGAUGUUUAAUACUUUUUAUUAACAAAAUGGAACUCACACCUAGGAACAUAUUAAGUGUCAACUUAAAAUGUGUGAGGCAUUGACUGAAGUCAGAGCCAUUCUCCAAAAUUUCCAAGCUGUUUAAUCACACAGAUGCUGGCACUCUGGACAGCACCUAGGACUGUAGUUCUUUUAAUGCUUUGGAGCUAUCCAGUUUUAUGUACAAGUCUUGCAAAACCUCUUGUAGUUUACGCAUUGUGAUCUUGCUGUCACUAGAGUCUUUACCCAAAAAUUGAGUAAGACAAAUGGAGGCAAUUUUGAAUGUGGAGUAGAGAUUCCACUUGGUUUGGUCACUGACAGAGCCAAGUAAGUUCAGGUGAAAAGGUACAAGUCAAGGCUUAGAUUCCCUAUUUUAGCCAAAUAGAGAAAAGAAUUAAAUGACACCAACAAUAUGGUUAGUUGAGCAAGUGGAUUGAAAUGAGAGAGACAUAUAUGAACGUUUGUUAAGGGAGAACAUUAAGAUUGCUUUGCAUCACACUUUUUUUUUUCUGUUUGCAUUGCACUUCUAAAAGAAAAAAGUGUGCAAGACAAUACAUAGUUUUUCAAAAUUCUUUUAGGAAUAUACAAGCAAUAAAGUUUGAAAUUACUAGGUCUAGGGGAGCCUGGGUAGCUCAGUCGGUUGAGUGUCCACCUCUUGAUUUUGGCUCAGGUCAUGAUCCCAGGGUCGUGGGCUCAAGCCCUGUGUCAGGGCUCUGUGCUAUGAGCAUGGAGCCUGCUUAAGAUUCUCUUUAUCCCUCUGCCCCACUCCCCUGCUCAUACUCUCUCAAAAAAAAAUUUUUUUUAAUUAAAAAAAAUUUAACAAAUACCAAAAAAUUACUGCUCUAAGAUAAACCAAUGGGAGUGGUUGGCUGCAGUUGUGUGGAAAACAAGAUGGCUGGAGGAGGAGAGGUCAAAGGACUGAGCAUUGGAAGGAUUGUCUACUUGGAUAUUGACACCACUGAGAACGAUGAUAGGAAAAGUGCUGAAAAGUCAGGCAGAAAGUCCAGUGCUAAAAUCAUAGAUCUAGGGAUCUACGACUUUGGAAAAUAGGGUAUCAUAUGGAAUGCUCUGCCAGUAUGAGCUUUUAAAGAGUUGAAGAGUUUUGGUGAGGAGAGAGGGAUAGGUGGGCAGCCAAAAUGGGAAACUGGGAAGAACCUCACUCUACCUCGACAUACUUUGGUUAGAGGGUCUGGAAAAGACAACAGCUCCCAUUAGAGAGGGCAAUGGGAGAGUCAGUGCCCUUAAGUAGAUGCCAAGUUUGGUGAAGGGAGUGUUCAGACAAAAGGGUGAAGGUAUGGGGCUUUUGCCUAUGAUGGCCUCUCAGUUUAGGAUGUUUGAGGCAUAUGGAAGGGUAUAAGAUUGAAUCAGGUAAGGGGGAUGGUGGAGUGAUGACCUGGGAGUCUUGGACUUAUAGUGGAUGCUGAUAGAAACAGGGGUAUAGGAUGUGUUUAGAUUACUCAUGAUAGUCUGUAAGGCCAAUUAUCAUAGUGAAGCCAUGAGUGUAGGGAGAGUAUAGGAAGGCAGGAUUGAGCAAGCCUUGGCAAAAACAUGUAGAUCUCAAUGGGUUUUCCUUUCAGACAUGAUGAUAGCACUGCUGAGGCAAGAAAGAGGUGACAUCACUGGGGAAGUGGAGAGGGCUCUGUGGGUAUCUCUUCACAACUCUGCAGGUAAUCAUAUUUUCCAUCUGAAUAAAACAAUAAAAAUAUCUCCUUCUCAUCUGACUCCUAUCCCACUCAAAUUACUGCCCAUUUCUCUGCUCCCAUUCAUUGUAAAACUCCUCCAAAGAGGAGUUGUACUUCUUCUCUCUUUCUGCACCCCAGUUCUUUCCUUAACUACUCCAGCUGGGCUUUCAUCCCCAUCAUUCCACCGAAACAUCUUUAUCAAGUUCACCAGUGAGUCCUUUCUGCUGAAAUGUUGAAUUAUCCAUCCCCAUGAUUUGACUAAUCGGUAGAAUUUGCUGUCACUGAGCCUCUCAAAUGGUUUCCUUUCACUGGAUGCUCCUUCUCAGUUUGUUGGUUCCUCUUUCUCAACCAGAGUUCUAAAUAUUGCAGUCCUGGGAUUUCUUCUCUUCUGUCUUUACUGUUUUAAGUAAUUUUAUCCAGUGCCAAAGAUUCAAAUAUUGUCUAUAUUCUGUUGCCUUUUAAUUUAUAUCUCUCUUUGUGAUGGAACUUUACUUAGCUCUAUAAAUCUAUCCAACUACGUACUCAAAAUCUCCAUUUGACACCUUAAAAUCAUCAUAGCCAACACAUAAGUAUUGUUUUUCCUCUGUGGCAAUGACUGCCAGCUGACUCCAAUAGCCACACUUAUUUAGUAAUAGAAUUUCCAAAUUUGCUGGGCAGAUAUGUUCCAGGAUAAAGACUACACCUAGCCUCCUUUGGGUAUGGUCAUGUGACUAAAUUUUGGCCAAGGGAAUGUGAAUGGAAGGGAUAAUGUACAACUUCCAGGACAAACCUUAGAGUCAACAGGUAGGCCCCUCCUUGUUUCCUUCCCUUCUGGCUGAAGCACUGACCCAGUGGGGAUUGUGGUGAACUAUCUUCAACAAUGCAGAGGACGACGUUGGGUGGACAACACAAUUUGAGAAACACUGCUCUAGGGAUCAGUGGAGCAACAAGAUGAGAGUCUGAAUUAUGAAUACCUAAAGCAAGCAUUUCAGCCCUACACUGCUUAUGUAUUUUUUUGAUGUUUAUUUAUUUAUUUUUGAGAGAGAGCACACAUGGAGGAGGGGCAGAGAGAGAGAGAGAGAGAGAGACAGACAGAAUCCAAAGCAGGCUCCAGGCUCUGAGCUGUCAGCACAGAGCCUGAUGCAGGGCUCAAACUCAUGAACCGUGAGAUCAUGACCUGAGCCGAAGUCAGACACUUAACCAACUGAGCCACUCACGUGCCCCCCUUUAUUUAUUUAUUUAUUUAUUUAUUUAUUUAUUUAAUUUUAUUUUUAACAUUUAUUUAUUUUUGUGAGAGAGAAGACAGAGACAAAGCGCAAGUGGGGGAGGGAAUAUUUACCCUAUUAACAGUUGUAAUCUAAGUCCUUGCAAAGUAAUAAUCCCACUUUCUUUUCCUUCCUUCCUUCCUUCCUCCCUCCCCGCCCCUCUCUUUCUUUUUAAGAGCCUUCACAUGAACUGAACAGGCUUCUGUUAGGGCCAUCCAUGAAGUAUAACAUCUCCCUUCCUCAUCCCCACAAGAAAUAACUGAGACGAUAAAGGCAUUGUUUUUACGCAUCGGGAAAAACUGUGAAAUAUCACUAGUAAAAAUAAACUACUACAGGAGAAUUUAAGGUUUCAGUUAAUUCCAUGCCAAUAUGUAGAAAUCAAUUAGAAAGAAAUGAUUGUUUGCUUUUGUUUCUGUUUUGUUUUUCAUCUCUAGAACUAAACAUAAGGUCGCCUUUUUUUUUGAGAAGUAGACAGCAUGAGCAGCAGGGGAAGGGUAGAGAGAAUCUUAAGCAGUCUCCACAGCAUGGAGCGAAAUGGGGUGCUUGAUCCCAUGACUAUGAGAUCAUAACCUAAGCCAAAAUCAAGAGUGGGACACUUAACCAACUUAACCACCCACGAGCUUUAAAGUUUAGCAUUCUUUAUACCAGCAGUUCUUACCCUUAGCUGCUACUGGAUUCACCUGUAGAUGUUUAGGUCAAAGCCCUAACAGAAUCUCUGAGGUGUAGGGCCAAAGCAUCAGGUUUGUUUUUUUUUUUUUGUUUAUUUUUGAGAGAGAGAGAGAGAGAAACAGAAUCCGAAGCAGGCUCCAAGGCUCUGAGCUGUCACCACAAAGCCCAACGCAGGGCUUGAACCCACAAACCGUGAGACCAUGACCUGGGCCGAAGCCGGAUGCUCAACAGACCAAGCCACUCAGGCACCCCCAAAGCAUCAGGUUUUUAAAGAUCUCAAUGUGCAGGCAAAGUUGAGAACCACAGUCUAAUAGUGUGCUCUUUAGCUUUCAUUGCAAUGGAUUUAUUAAUCUAUUAGUCAAAAUGUAUUUGCUUUCCAGUUUCCAUCCAAGGAUUUUAAAAUCUUGAUUGGAAACUGUGAUAUUCUAUUUAAUGUUUUAAUCUUCAGUGUUUUUCUUUUGCCAUGUCUGACCUAAAGGUUCCAUUGUCCAUUCUUAGUAGAAUGAAUUCUUUCCAAUGGAAAUUCAGUGUUAAUGCCCCAAAUUUCCAGUUUCCUUACAACUUAGGUUUUGAAAAGGGAGAGUGUGAAUGUGUAUGUGUGUGUGUGUACAUGUGUGUAUGUAUGUAUAUUGGGACGAUGAGAGCCUUUAUGUAACAAUAUUUAUUUAGGACUUUACAAAGCAUUUUUACAAACAUUUCAUUUGUUCUUCACUUCAGUUGUCUGUAAAGUGGUAGGUAUCAUAUUUGAUAAGUAAAUGAGGAAAGUGGUGCUCUGAAUUAAGUGGGCUCCCCAAGGUUCACAUAACUUGUUUUCCUUAGUCAAGGUAUAUAGGCUGCUCAAAAUACCAGUAGUCAUUUAGUUAUCAAAAACUAACAUUCACACAGUUUCAUGAGAAGAGAACAUGUAACAUAUUGAACGUAGAAGUAGAAAUAAAAAGCCAGCUCUCUUUUAAGCUAGCUAUCAAAGAGUUUUGCAAAAAUGUAAAACAGUGCCACUCUUCUCACUAAAUUUUCAUUUUGGAAAAUGGUUAUUUUUUCAUAAAAACCUUUUUAUUAAUAUGUAUUGGGUUUAUUAUUUUAAAAUACUUAAUACUUUUAAAUGUUCUAAUUUUGGACACAGUAUAUAUAUUGAUAGAUAUAAUGCAUAAUAUAAACAAAAGUUCUUUGGGGCUCCCAAGCCAGAAAGUUUGGGAACCACUACUAUAAGCUAUAUGCUAUCUUUGAAUUGUGAGAAGAACUGAAUGAAUUGUUUACCUUAGCAUUAAGCCAAGCUCACACAAAGCUACUUGAGUACUUUUUCCCCAAGGCUAAAACACUAUUGGCAAUACUAAAUAUUUUUAUUGCAUGAGACAAUCACUACAAUUAAAACAGAAGUUUGAGAAUUGGACAAAAAUUACAGAAUGAUAAAAAACAGCUUUCUUCAACAAAAACACCCUUUUAAUAUCUUUGAUACUUUCAUAGAUUAGCAUCAGAAUUUAUUACAAGAUUAUUAUGAUUAUUUUUAUUACAAGGAUAUUACUACAAUUAUUCAACCUUAACUGUUGCUAGUUUAUACCUAUUUGACUCUGAUUUCUUAAAUAUUGCAACACAAUGAAAAGAAUACUUUUGAUGUUGUAGAGAUACUUCAAUGGAGAAAAUAUAAUUUUCAAUUAUACUUUAUUUAGCCCAAUACUUCCUUAAGCCUUGUAUUUUCUGAUUGAACUUUGGCUAACAGAAUCAUGCUUGAAGCCUGAGAACAUCAGCUUUCAGUAGGCUGCUGCUGGUGAAACUCUCUGGGAAAUAGGAUGUUGACAGAGGUAUAAUGUAAAACAAAAUAGAGUAAAAUGUAAUUUUAAAGAAAAGGUUGUUAGAUUAAAAUUGAAGGCUAAGCAAAUUUGCAAAGAUAUAAAUCCUUUUUUAAUAUUUAUUUCAGAGGGAGAAGGAGAGGGAGAGGAAGGGACAGAGAGAAUCCCAAGCUGACUCCGCACUGUCAGUGCAGAGUCAGACAUGGGGCUUGAACCCAUGAACCAUGAGAUCAUGACCUGAGCCAAAAUCAAGAAUUGGACACUUAACUGACACCCACAAGGAUGUAAAUCUUAAUCCAUGUGUUGGUAGUGUAGGCUCUGGUGUCAGAUUUGUAUUUGUUCUAUAUGUUGUAACCACAAAAUUUUACUUGCUGUAUUAAUUGUUAAGGAAUCACCUUUAAAACAUCCAGACUUCCAAAGUUUAAUGUUUCUAUACUAAUUAGUUGUCAGGGAGAGCUGCAUUCAGGCCAGGGUCUGUAAUGCCUUUUGAAUGUACAGUGCCUCUUCCUUUGGCACUGAAUUAAUGAGUAACUAUAUAACAGAUUCAUUUAAAAACAACAUAGGAGACUUCUAUAAUGCUGAACUUGCUAUGUAGUAUUUGUGCUCUUUAAUUUUGCUCAGUUCUUCACAAACAAUGCAAUUCAAAUUCAUUAAUCAUCAAGACAUAAUAUGUGUGUCUGAGUUAUGAGAAUAUAGGAACCAGAUUUUUAAGAGGUAAGACCUCUGGUAUUGCAGGGAUUGUAAAUAUUUUUUUCUCAUUCCCAAAUUUCCUAGAAACAAGAAGAGUUUUGUAUAAGGGAAUAUUCCUUUUUGAUAUGAAAGUUGCCUUAUUCUUAAAAUUACACAUAUUAUUCUUUACCCGUACAUAUUCCCUGCUUCCCAGACAUCUUCCACCUCCCUUUCAAUAGACGUCUUAAUUUGGCAUCUGAUGAUUUAAAAUGGUUUCCGUAAUCUAAUUUUGAAUAACACCCAUUUUAAAGCAGAAACAGUUUAACAAUUAACAAAUAUAAACACUUGUUGAAAUGUUUACUGAACCAACAUAGUCCAUUUGUUUGAGAAAAGAUAUGCAAAGUUAAGUUUCCCAUGGGAAGAGAUCACCUUGAUAACUCCAGUUUUUAAAAAUCUGAGCGUGCUAGAUAAUCACAGUUGGUGUUUAUGGAACUUUUUGGUGGGGAGAAAAACCAACUCUAUAAACUGAGAUUUGGAGCUGAGAAAACUAUCAGAUGAAAUGGCAGGAAGAAAAAACUUAUUAGAAUUCCACUUUCUAAGAGGAAAACUAAUACUGCAGAACCAUUUAAUGAAAACUUAUCAUUACAGGGUUCAGAUAUCUACUGACAUAUGUAUGACAGACUUGAGAUUGGAAUCAUUAACUGCCUUCAGGAAAUUAUGUAUUUCACAAAUUUUGCUGUUUUAAAGAACACUUAAAUAUCACAAAGACACUGAUACCAUAACCAUGCCCAGAGCAAUUGUAAAAUUGCUUAAAAAAUUGUAAAACUGUCUAAAAAUUUUUUUAACAUGUAUAUGGGGAUUAACAAUCUUUAGUUAUCUGGAUGCAUUUCAGGUCACAGGACAAAAGCAAAUUCUUACUUUGGCAUGUGUUCAGUACAGUUACAUGUCUAGCUCCUUUUAGGUAACAUCUGUCUGCUCAAAUAAUUAAUACUAUUGGAUAUUAUUCCCUCAAAGCAAAUGUCUAUUAACCCUGUAUCCUAGAAGAAAUUUAAAAAACAGUAACUAAAGAAAUGUAAUUGUAAUCUAAUUUCCUAAAGAUUUCUCCGAAUCCCUACUUCUGAAUACUGGCCCUACUGCUAUUAUAGAAAUGUUUUCCUUGAAAAUUCCAUUUCUCUAUGGAAUGUCUUUAGUUAGGAGUAACAAGUCUUACAAAGAAAUUGUUUAAUAAAGAAUGUUAACAUUUUACUAAGCAAAAGAUGUUUGCUUCAAUUCCCACAAAAGCCAAACAGAAAACAAUGCAUUACUAACGUUUUCUAUUUAUUCAUUAAUAAAAAGUGCAUAGUACAAGCCCUUUAUCCCAGUCCAAGUACUCAGUAAAAGAUUACAAUAAACCCUGGAUGGCACAGACAUGAUUUGUUUGGCAUGAUUUAAACAUUUAAAAACAGCAAUUAAUAUUUAGUAUAUCACAUGACCACUUUUGCUUUUAACAAAGCAAUCAUCAGACAUGGUAACAAAUACAUAUGAUUUUUCAUUUAGAAAUAUUAUGUUAAGACUAAACCUACUAUUGCCAACAACAAAAAUUUAACCCAUUAUGUGUAAACGCUUCAUUUCUCCUUCAAGUUGCUAUUUUGUGUCAUAAGCUGAUGCGCUGGUCCAAUUUUAGCACAUGUUUAUUUAGAGUGACAGACUUUAAUUCAGAGUGACAAAUUUCCAAGGUUUCUUUGAAAAUAUAAAAAUUCAGUAAUUCUAUAAAUACUACCACAUCACAUACCACACAAUGACACUAAAAGUAACCAUGGAAUAGCUGAACCUAACAGUUACUUUGGAAAAUCUCUGCAAGUUUAAAAUAUGACUUGCUGGCUAUGGGAUAGUGCUUGGAUAGAUACAUGAUAAAAUCUUUUACUAUACACAGUUCCAAUGUUAACUUUUUCCAUAUGGAAAGAAAACAUUACUUUGCAUAAGGUACAUCAAAUCACUCUUAAAUAAAAUUAACUUAAUGUUAGUUGUGGAAUAUUUAAGAGCCAAAAAUUAAAAUGUGAAGCUUUAGCUUUCUUUUUUCCAGAUUAUUUAAAAAUGAUUGUAGCCACAGUUCAGGUGAAUGUUUACAAGCCAAGUAAUGACUAAGAGUGUGCUCAAUAAGAAGGCCACAUGUAGAAGUUUAAGAAUUAAAUAGAAUAAUAUAAAUUACUAGUUAGGUUAACAGGAAUACUUUAUAUGCAGUAGUACAUGGUCUUUCUCAGGAAUACGGAGAAAUUUUAUAAGCAAAAAAACCAAAACUACUUCUCUAGGAGCUUUGUUGCUAAUUAAAUAGAUGGUCCAUAUAGAAAAGGUUAAUAUUCUAGAUGUACUAUCAAUUAAGUGUACAUAACAGAAAUGAAGAACCAGGAAUAAGAAUCUAGAUUUGCAGGUCUCUAGCUAACACUAGACAUUCUGUUUCCAGGUCUAGGCCAGUUGGCUUCAACCAAAGCCAAUUCUCAAUUAUUUGUGAGCCACAGAUUCAGUAAAUACAUCCGUAUCUCUGCCAAAGAUUGGCUUUCUAGCAGCUUAGAGAAAAGACUGUUAGGAUAUAUGUGUAAGCCUUCAAAGUCUAGGGGGCAAGGGCAGAAAAAGGAAUGCUUACAGAGAUUUAGCUCCAUCCUAUGCCAUUCCUGCCCUUUCUGCAUUAAAUACUCUAACAGUUAUAAAGCUGGGAAGGUUUCCAGGCCCAGCAAGAGGAAGAACUUUAAACCUCUGGUGCUCAAUUAUCCAAGAUUUGACUUACCUGUGUUAUGAUACCCUUCAAUUAGCAUAAAGUAAUUGAGUAGGUUAUGUCAAGAAAUUAAGCACAAAGCCAAGAUGCACAAAAGGAAUGCAAGCAGUCAAUAUUGGAUUAUAUAAUGAAUGAAGCCCUUAAAAUGUUUAUGGCCUAAAAUGUAAUCAUAACAAAGGGGGGAAAAUACCCUAUGAGCAUCACACAAUUGUAUCAGAGACUCUAUUAAACAGUACAAUGAUAUAGAGAAGUUUAUUAAUUCAUACAAGUAAUUUCUCAGAUCAAUACAGUGAAAAGCUAGACUCAUCUGGGGGAAAAAUCCUUACAUUGAUAGCAAAAUAUCUUCUAGCCCCCAUAAACCAUCUGUAAUCACUUGCUAAGAAAAAAUUCCAUAACCACAUAGGUCAUGCCGACUUCGUUUUUAUGCCAUUUGUAUUUUCUUUCAAACUGAGCAAAACAAUGCAACCUUUUACUUUUCAUACAUUUCAAAAUUUUACUUAUAUUAAUACUCCUCCUCACCCCAAUCCAUCCUAUUACUAAACAAGAAUGAGAUAAGGGGUGAGAAAAAGAUCCUUGAUUGCUUUUUCAUUUUCCUCCUUCUCCCUUGGAGUAAACUAAGAAUUCAUCAAAUAUAUUUUAAAGUAAGAAGGAUAAUAAAAGAUUCAUUUUUUUCCUCACAGAAAAAAGACUAAAUAAGUAAAGAGCAUUCAAAUAUCAGUAACCAAAUAGGUCCCCAAUACAGCUUUAAGAUAGUUCCAUUUAACAGGGAAGUGUUAGAACAGAAAAGAAGGUUCCUGAGAGGCACCGAUUUAACAAAUAAAUUAUAGCUUAAAUUAUUACUGUAUAGAAUAUACUUGGCAAAGGCAGAAAGAAUUAACUUUUUUCCUCCUUUCACAAACCUUGUAAGGCUAUAAUGGACUGUAAAUCAUCCACCAUAUUUAAAUCAUGUUUAAAGUUCUCCUAAUAUUAGACAUUUUUAUGGGAAUAAAAAGCUUAGUAAACAACUAUUUCAUUUCUUCUCCCUUCCUUUUCUAGCCACAUAAGCCAGUUGUAGUGGAUGACACAGAACUGUAAAAUAUUCCAAAGGCUGCCACAGUCCCAAGAACUAGAGAUAACUGCCACCCGCAAAUCAAGGUAAAUGUAAAUACAGUGUGGUUCUAAUUUUUUUUCAUACAAUCUCAGACAACCCCAAGUAACUUUAUAAAUAACUAAUGAAAAAAAAAAAAGCAAUUUUAAAACCUAUCAAAACUAUUUAAAAUAUUUAAAUGCAGAGAUCUCAAAUUUCCUUCAAUCAGGCCAGAAAUCAUCACAAAAAUUAUGAUCACAGUUACAAAAAAAAUGAGUGGAAUGUUUAAGUGUAGGAUAACCAAAAAAGCCCAUGUAACUUUUUUUUAAUAUAAUCAUUUACUCAAAUAUGCUGUAAAAAGGAAUGGUGAUAACACAGGAAGCAAAAAUAAGCUUGCAAGUGAAAUUUCUAGAGGCUCAUGAAAACAAUACCAUCCCAUAUUGCAGAUGCAAAAGGAAAAACAGUUCUAAUGGGGUUAAGAGUACUCUGGUCAUCUUCGUUCAUUUGGUCGUGCAAGGUGUUAACUAUUUUCACUUCCCAUAUCACAAAGUUAGUCCACAGGAGGGGCUGGUGGAUCUUGUCCCUGGCAUUAGAAAGACAGAAAUUAUGGAAUUUACUUCUUAAAUCCCAGUGCAACUAAUCUAACACAUAUAGUAAGUGUUGAGCAGCAUGCCCACCACCCUCCAAUCCCUAAUCAUAUACUUAUUUGAACUUUUUAUAUGUUUCUGCACAAGGGAACACUAGAUUAACACUGUAAUUCACCAAUGUUUGUUUCAUUCCUCCCUGUAGCACAGAAGAAAGGAAAAUUGUGUAACAGUAGUAUGAUAUGGAGGAAACUGCUCUCGCUGACAGCUCCAGAAGUGAUAUUUAAACCAAUAAAGAUAGCAUCAUCCCUCUUGCUAAGAUGACUGAGCUCAGUACAACCAAAGAGAAGCUAGAGAUUUUUGUUUCUCACUACAGAAUGUCAAUGAGGAAGCAUGUGACUCCAGAUGCUGUUGGCAGGCAUCCUAUGACCACAAAGGGAGCUCACUUUGGAAUGAAGCUGAUGGUCUGAGGAAAGAAAGUAGGGCUUCAAUGAUACUGUUAAACAAUCUAAAACACUGAUCCUACAACCUUUCUGGAUUUUCUAAUGUGUAAACCAAUAAAGCCACUUGUUUAAACCAGGCCAAGCUGAUUUUUGUUACUUGCAAGAGAAAGUAUUUGAACUGUAAAGGAAAGAUCAAAGCUUUAGAAACCUUCAAGAAGAUUCCAUUUAUUUACUGUGACCUGCUAUAGAAGGCCCCAGUUGAGGGUGGUCAAUUUUUCAAAUAGGUCAAAAUAUGAACUAUAGCCUAAAAUUAGUCAAUAUGUUUUCUUGCUUAUUCUUAGGGCAGUGGGCCUACUCUUCUAGAACUGCUGGCCUACAAUGAAAUAAGAUUUAGGGACUAUUAUCUUAGAUUUCUGUCAGUUUUGAUGGCUUCUAAACCAGCUUAUUAAGUUGAACUUCUUUAGCUCCAAAAGUUGAGGAAGUUGAUCUUUGAUAUGAAAAAGUAGUAAAACUAUGCAUAGAAAGUAAGAAAAAAGGCUGAGGAGAAAGCACCUUAUCAAGACAACAUACAAGCUGUUUUAUGGAUAUCUUCCUCUCCAUGAAAAACAAAAAAUAAAUUUAAGGCCCUUUAUAUCGUGCUAAUGAUGCUUUCUUUCUUAAAAUCAGCAUGGCUACAUAACUAAAUGUUCUAUUAAAAAAAAAAGCACUGAUUAUCAUUUGCUUUCUCCUAUGUAAGAAAUUAGUUUAACUAAAUUUCUAAUAAUAACAACACAGAUUGUGGAAAAGAAGAAAUUAUUUUAGCAAUUCCAUAUGGUGAAGGUUGGAGAAGGGAAUUAGUGGGAUAAUUUGGUGUUCAACAAUGAAUUCAUCAUGGAAAUAUUUUUCAAGAGAUAACAUCCAAGUCAAAUAGAAAAGAAAAAAUACAAAUGCUGGUUCUCCAAACAAUAAAAAGGAAUCCUUCAGUGGAGUUUCUUCUAUUCAAGAUAGCACAAAACACUCCCUGUUGGGUCACUUUAUUUAUGCUAUUUUUUACCUAGGUUCUAUAAAUGGUAGUAAUCAUGACUAUCAAAAUUUAUCAACAUGAAUGAUCCUAUCUCUCCUUUGCCAGCAGAACUGGAUGAGUUUUUAAGAGAAACUGGAUGGGAAAACAAAAGGAAAACAGGAUUUAGCCAGAUAGGCUCAGGGUCUCUACUGAAUUUAAUAGCUAGGACAGAAGGGGAAAAAGUGAAGUAGAGGAAAAAAUAUGAACUAUAGCUAGUAAGAGAAUUUAAAGAGCGGGAACCAUGAGAAGCAAGGGAUCAACUGUGAGGAACUGGGGAGUGAAAGACUGAGAUUUGAGAAAUACUGCUGUGGAUUAUUAUGAACUGGAUCAUUUUCUAUGUUGAGAAAGACUGGAAUGUGAGUAAAGAUUGGAAUUCAUUCUACAAUUCUUUUUGGGCUACUGGUCUGUGUUUCUCUCUAUAUGUAACUCCAUGAAGAUUAAGCCUUUUGGGGUUGCAAGAUUUACAAGAACUACAUAGGAAGAACUUAUUCCAUGAGUUAAAUCUUCCUUUUGCUAAUUCAGAUAUUUCAGUCAAAACAAACUCCUCCCAUUCCCAGGCCACACCCACCCCUACCCAAAUGAAUUUCUAAUCCACAACACUUACAUUAUGAGGACUGGUUGGCUUUCCAGUAAGAUUGGAUCCUCUUAGAUUAGGAGGUCUCAGUAGAAACAAAAUCACUGCAAUAACCAUCCAGGCCAUCAAGAUCAUGGUAAUACUGAUGCCAUUAUCACCAGAAGGUCCUGGCACUAAAGACAAACAAAAAAUAUAUUUGCAACAAAAAAUGUAGCAUGGUUAUAAUAUUGUUAGAUAAUUUAAGAAUAAAUUCUAAUGUUCAAGUGCCAUUUUCAAAAAUUGUAUUACACAUUUGAAAAUAUACAAUGAAAAAUUGUAUACACAUUUUAAGAAAUACAAUUAUGAAAUAUUACAUCUUGAAUUUUCCUUUCUUCUUGUGAGAAAAUCUAAAUGGUAAAUGGUACAAAAUAGUCGUAAGACGAAACCUAUUAAAUGAGGAUUUUAAUAUACAGUGGUUCUUAAUAUUUUGGUGUGACAGAAUCCUUUGAGAAUUUUAGAAAAAUUAAGGACUCUUUCCACUGUAAGAAUCCAUGUAUACACACUCAAUUUUGCAUAUGAUUUGGGAAGGUUCAUGAACCCACAAAGCCACCCAUCCCCAGAUAUACUGAGAUCUACAAAACCCAGGUUAAAACCACCUGAUGUACAGUAAAGACACUCUACCUCAGGACAGGAAAAUUCUGAAUUUUAAUUACAAAAGCAGCAUGAAAAAAUAACAGAGCUUAAGGAAAAGGAACCAUGUGAAUUGUAUAAUAUAUAAAUUAAAGAUCCCUUGAAUGAUAUUCUCAAAGAGAUAGUAAUUUGGCCUUCUUUUUUAACAAAAAGAAGUUGGAUUCAGAUACAGAUAUUCUAAAAUCUAUCCAUUUAUCAGGAGAAAGAAGUCAGGGCUGUGUGUGUCAGUAAUAGUUUCUCCCAGCUCCUCAGGCAGCCAUGUCUUAUUUAAUUCAUUAUUACAAGUACCUAACACAGUGCUGGCCCAUGGUAUGAGCCUAACAAAUUUCUGCUAAAUAAAACAGACUUAUAAUUGACGUAUAUUAGAGAACUCAGUUGUCAUAAAUGAAAAUUACAGAAGAUAGAUUUCUUUUUUUUAAGUUAUUUAUUUAUUUAUUUAUUGAGAGAGAGAGAGAGAGAAGAAGGGGCAGAGAGAGGGGGAGAGGAUCCACACUGUCAGCACAGAGCCUGAUGUAGGGCUUGAAUUCACAAACCGUGAGAUCAUGGCCUGACCUGAAAUUGAAUUAGACACGUAAUCAACUGAGCCACCCAGGAGCCCCUAUUUUAAGAGACAGAGAACGAGAGUGUAAGCAAGGAAGGGACAGAGAGAGAGGGAGAAAGAAUACCAAGCAGGCUCCGCACUGUCAGCACAGAGCCCUACACAGGGCUCUAUCUCAUGAACCAUGAUAUCAUAACGAGCCGAAAUCAAAACUCAGAGUGUGUUAAGGGACUGAAGCCACCCAGGCACCACAUGAGAGGGUUUUGUUGUUGUUGUUGUUGUUGUUGUUGUUGUUGUUUUUAAAGCAAAUACUAUUGGGACACUUGGGUACUCAGUUAAGUGUCUGAGUCUUGGUUUCAGUUCAGGUCAUGAUCUCACAGUUCAUGAGUUCAAGCCCUGCAUCAGGAUCUGUGCUGACAGUAUGGAGUCUGCUUGGGAUUCUCCCUUUCUCUCUGCCUCUCUCUCUUAAAAUAAACAUUAAAAAAAAGCAAAUACUAUUAUUUUUAUUGCUAAAUAAUAGCUAAAAUUUGAAUCGUUACUUUGAACCAGGCAUCUCUGUUAAUCCUUUUAACAAUCUUAUUUUAUGGUAAGUACUACCAUAUUUUCAUUUUAUUGAUGAAGAAACUAGGGGAAAGGGGGGUUAAAUCCUAAUGUCAUACAGUUGGUAUGUGGCAAAGCUGGGAUUUUAAUACAGCUGGUGUCAUUCCAGAGGCUGUACUCUUAACCAACCUCUUUGCCAUGUCAGAAUCUCUGACAAUACCACAGAGUGAGACAGAACCUGAAAAUUAUUAGUCCUGUGAGUAGUAAAAUUAGAAAACACAGAUUUAAAAAGGAUUUUUGAUGAAUAAGCUUGUAAGUAGAGGUUAGGUAAAAUUAGAUUAUUUAAAGUUAAAGAAAGAUAACUGUGACUUCUACACAUUAUCACUUCUUAUGGUGCCCCUGUCUCAGAAAUAAAAUGCCAGAUUAAUGGUAUAGACCAGAAGUGAAACCCCAACGUCAAUUCUUAUGUAUUAUUCAAUUUGGAAAGUGGGUCUCUUCCUUUCAUUUUAUUUAAUUUUUUUUUAACGUUUAUUUAUUUUUGAGACAGAGAGAGACAGAGCAUGAACGGGGGAGGGUCAGAGAGAGGGAGACAUAGAGUCUGAAACAGGCUCCAGGCUCUGAGCUGUCAGCACAGAGCCCGACGCGGGCUCGAACUCACGGACCGCGAGAUCAUGACCCUAGCCGAAGUCGGCCGCUUAACCAACUGAGCCACCCCAGCGCCCCUCUUCCUUUCAUUUUAUAAGUAAUCUCUACAUCCAGCGUGAGGCUCGAACUCACAACCCUGAGAUCAAGAAUUGAAUGCUCCAACAACUAAGCCAGCCAGGCACCCCAGGUCUCUUAUUUUUUGAUACUCUUUGCACAUAAAAUAUUCUUCACGGGGUUGAACCUUGGAUCACUAAUUUACUAAUUCAUGUCUUUGUAGACAUGAAAAUGCCUACUCUCACAGUCAUGUUAUGGUUCUCAGUUUCCUGUAACUGUCUCCUAGCUUGGUUCUUAUUCCUGUCUUUCUUUUCUGCAUAUUGCUGCCAGAAAAGUCUGCUUAGAACACUGCUCGUAACAGAUCUGCUGACCAACCCAGUGACUUACUCUCUGACUACUGCUUCAACUCUGAACUCUUCAGCCUGGCCUUUCCUCAUAGGAUUUGGCCCUACUCAUCAUAUUAACUCUAAAUAUUUCUCACAUAAAGCAUCCUCUUGUUCUAGUCAACCAUAGUAUCUUCUUCCUUCUUUAGCCAGUGGUAGUCUGGUCUGUCUAUGCUUAAGAAUAGCCUGUGAUGACAGCAAUACCACAGAUUCUACGGCUCUACCUCACACCAUCUAAUUCAGGAGCAGCUCAGGGAUGGGGUCAGGAACCAACAAUAUUUUAAAAACUUCCCAAAUGAAUAUGAUGCAACAGUUCAAUGCUAGUUUGGCUGAAAGAAUUUGACAAUUUUACAAACUCAGUCUUGGGGUACUCAUGAUUUUUUCCCUGUCUAGCAUGUGCUUACAAAUAACCACCAUUUAUUCACCUACAUCACUCUCUUCUAUAAAAAUCUCCAUUUUUGGGGUACCUGGGUGGCUCACUCAGCUGAGAGUCCAACUUCAGCUCAGGUCAUGAUCUCACGGUUUGUGGGUUCAAGACCCACAUCUGGCUCGCUACUGUCAGUGCAAAGCCCGCUUUGGAUCCUCUGUCCCCCUCUCUCUUUGCCCCACCUCUGCUUGCACUCUCUCAAAAGUGAAUAAAUAUUUUGUUCUCACUUUUGAGAGAGAGAGAGCAUGAGCAGGGGAGCGGUAGAGAGAGAGCUAGACACAGAAUCCAGAGCAGGCUCCAAGCUCUGAGCUAUCAGCACAGAGCCUGAUGUGGUGCUUGAACCCAUGAACUGUGAGAUCAUGACCUGAGCCGAAGUGGAACAUUUAACCAACUAAGCCACCAAGGCGUCCCAAAAAUGAAUACAUUUUUUAAAAAAUCUCCAUUUUCUCAGUCCUCUCCUUCCUUUCUUCUCUGGACUAGUGUAGCAUUCCUAGUUUGAAGGAAUGGCUUCCUGUUUGUUCUAAUUAGGACAUUAACUUUUCAAGAACUGAGACCGUUUUAUAGAUGUUUGACUCCAUUACUUCUUAGCUAUAUAAUCUCUGUGCCUCAAUUUCUUCACCUGUGAAAUGGAAAUAUUACUAUCAUCCCAGAGAGUAGUUGUGAGGAUUGAAAUGAUCAGUACAUAAGGAGCAGUUAGUACAGUGACUGGUACACAGAAGGUAUUUAAUACAGUAUUGAAUACCCCAGGAGGUAUUCAUUACCAGUAUUAUGCACACAGAAAAGUCUGAGUGCAGAUAUAUCCUGGCGUGAAUAACUAGGCUGGAUAAGAUGCUGAAGUGGGAAUGGAAAAGGGUCAAAUACAAAUAGUACUAGGAUGGGAGAAGCAAAACACGUGGUGACUGACUGGACUGACAGUAGAAGGGGGAAGAAAAGAAGUUAAAGAUGCCUCUAAAGUCUGUGAAGGGUAGUAAUGUGCAGUAAAAUUUCUCUACUUAAAAGGCUAAAAAAAAAAAAAAAAAAAAGGUUAAAUGGAUAUCAUUUUCCUAACCUUCAAAGUUUGAUAAGUUCAUUUCUCUUAUUCUCCAAUAACUCAAGGCCCCUCUCAGAAUAAAGAAUAAUAGCUAAAUCAAUUAAAGUUGAACCUCUUGGGGUGCCUGGGUAGCUCAGUUGGUUAAGCAUCCAACUCCUGAUUUUGGCUCAGGUUAUGAUUUCAUGGUUCUUGAGACUGAGCCAGAGCCUGCUUAGGAUUCUCUCUCUCUCUCUCUCUCUCUCUCUCUCUCUCUUUCUCUCUCUCUCUCUCAAAAUAAAUAAACUUAAAAAAAAAAGUUGAACCUCUUGACCAUAGUCAGUGUUUUUCUAUUUAUACUAGCCCCAUAAAAUUAAGAUGGCUCUAGAAUGUAUUUUCACAUAGGUAUACUGUGCAAGAUUAUUUUUUUUAAAAAAACCUAGAAAAAAAUAGAAACAAACCUAAAUGCCUGCCAAGAGUGUCUGAUUAGUAAAUUAGGGGAACAUCUGCACAAUGUAAUACCCAUGAAGCUGUAAAAAAAUGUUUAGGGAAGUAUCCAUGAGAUAUGCUAUUUUUUUUUUGACUGAAAAAAAAAAAGGUGAGAAACUGUGUACCAAGAAAGGAAGUAAAUAAUAUACAGUUUGCUUGUACAUGAAUAAAUUCUGGAAAGAUACAUAAAAAGCUAAUAAUACCUGAGACAGCACCUGAGUAGAUGAGAAAAUGUAAGGAGGAAGAUAACUUUUCAGUGUUUAUUAAUUAAGUCCUUGAUUUGUGAACUAUAUAUAAAAAAAUAAAUUGAAUUAAACAAAAAAAGUUCAGGAUUGGAGAGCCUGGGUAGUAUCUGAACUGAGUUGGACUUCUUGAAAUAUUCAGAAACAGACAUGAAUAGAAUCACUGAUGGCAUUCUGUGAUUAUUUGUAGUCCCUUAUGACAAGAUUCGCUUUUUCAUAAAGUCUCCAAACAGGUAUGCUACUCAAACUCCCUCAUACUACAUGUAGCUGAUACAAACAAAUAUAACAGGCAGCUAUUGUUUUAAAUUUAUUUUUAUUUUAUUUUUUCAAGUUCGCUCCAUGCCCAAUGUGAGGCUUGAACUCACAGCCUUGAGAUUAACAGUUGCAGGCUCUACUGACUGAGCCAGCCAGGUGCGCCUAAUUUUAAGUUUUAUUUUCAUUUAAGUAACCUCUAUACCCAACAUGGGGCUUGAAAUCACUACCUCAGGAUCAAGAGUUGUAUGCUCUUCCAACUGAGCCAGCCAGGCACCCCAAGGAACAGAGAUUUUAAAGUCAGUAUAGAGAAGUGAACAGGCACUGGUCCCCGGGGUUUUUACUGUGAUAACUUUUUGACACAUACAAAUAUUAAGGGGCACAAUCACAUGGGAGAUAUAAAAUCUGUUUCCUCACUGCCUGGAAAUGAUUUGCCUUAAGAGAGUAAAUACAUUUUGCUGUAUCGUCUGGAAAGAUGUCAAAUCAAAAAAUGUAAGAGGACUCUGUGCAUCAAAAUACAGCAUUCUGCUUUGCUUAACGUUUAAGUCUUUAGUUAUAAGCAAAUGUAUUACAAAUAGUUUGUCAAAUGGAAUAUGCACAGUGAAGCUAUUAACUUACCUGGACACCAGGAAGAUGAAGGAGUAGAGAGGGAUGCUCUAAGAGCUGGUAGAUCCCAAGGGAUUAUUUCUACAAACUUACAUAGGCUUCCAGUGGAAAAGCAGAAAUAGAACAACAGUGAAAGUGGUGCAUUAGCACCAGGAGGCUUUAACUCUGCAAUUUUGGGGCUGUAUGGAGUAAUUACAUUAUCCUCACAGUAUAGCUACCUGUUUUCAAGUUGAUUUACUCCAGAAUUAAGUUAGUGAUAGAGCUGGUUUCCACACAACACUUUAUCUGAAAGGCAGUCUUUCAGAAGAGUGAGCAGACUUGCUCCCUACUGCUCUAGAGAGCAAAACUAUGGGUGGACACCACAAUGAAGUGGGAGUUUAGCUCAAUAUAAAGAAUCAUGCACUAUUCGGUGAUCCAUACUUACUAUUGUAAUGUCCUCUUAAUAAAUUGAUCCUUUUGUCAUUUUGAAAAAAAAAAAAAAAGAAUCAUGUACCAACUGAAUCUGCUAAUACACUGCAGCUAAAUUCUGCUCCCACACAAAGUAAUGAGCUCAGAUUCAAUUAAAUCACCUCAAAUGCAUGCAACAAACCAUGGCAAGCACAAUGAGUAUUGUGAUAUAAUAAGAAAUAUAGGGGCAUAUUUCUUCAUAUUUCUGGGUGGCAUCGUCGGCUAAGCGUCCUGACUCUUGAUUUCGGCUCAGGCUGUGAUCUAACGGUUGUGAUACUGAGCCCUGCAUUGGGCUCCAUGCUGGGUAUGGAGCCUGCUUAAAUUCUCUCUCCCCCUCUCCCUCUGCCAUUCCCCCUCACCUGCAUGUGUGCACACAUACAUGUGCGCGCGCUCUCUCUCAAAAAAGAAAAAAGCAAAACAAAACAAAAAAAGGAAAAAAAAGGAAAAGAAAAAAAGAAAUAUAUAUUUGGUCUUCAUUCCAGUUCCUAGCACAGAAAUCCUAAAACUCUUGGAAUUUCCUGAGAGAUAGGAAAGAAAUGUCAUUUUGUAAUUAAUAAUAAACGUUUCAACCAAACCUGAGUUUAUGCUAAUGAAGUGACUUUGGGGGGCCUCUGUAGGCUUCAGGAUGGGGUCUGGUUGCCAGAGUUUGACCAUAUAAUUAGAGAGCUGGAACUUUCAGCUCCACUACCUAACCUCCAGGCAGGAAAGUGGCUGGAGAUCAACUUACUCACCAAUGGCCAAUGAUUUUAUCAUUCCUGCCUACAGAAUAGAAUCUCCAUAAAAACUCUAAACAAAGGGGUUCAGAGAGCUUCCUGAUUGGUGAAUACAUCGAGGUGCUGGGAAAGUGGCACACUCAGAGAAAACAGGGAAACUCUGCACCCUUCCACCACAUAUCUUGCCCUGUGCACCCUUUCUAUUUGGCUGUUCUUGAGUUGUACCCUUUAUAAUACACCGGUAAUGUAAAUAAACUGUUUUCCUGAGUUCUGUGAGCCAUUCUAGCCAAUUACUGAACCUGAGUAGGGGACAGUAGGAACUCCAGAUUAAAAUAUAUUUUAUGAAAACAGCAUAAAUUCACUGGAGAAAAUUUAGAAUACAAAGAAAAGUAAUUCUAACACCUACAGGAAACAACUGCACAAACCAUUUAAAAACAUGACUUUCAGAAAGGAUUUCCACCAAACACUAAAAGAACCAGGGAAGAAAAACUGGCCAAUAUAACUAAAUUAAUAUUUAAGCUCUAGAGUUUUGUCUUUAUGUUUAGAUUAAAGAAAUGACGUUUCAUU
rnacentral:lncRNA from 1 species